rnacentral:rRNA from 1 species
GACAGGGGUGCCGAGCGUUAGGCGGAAUCACUGGGCUUAAAGCGUGUGUAGGCGGGCCGUUAAGUGUCUUGUGAAAUCCCCCGGCUCAACCGGGGAAUUGCUGGGCAUACUGGCGGUCUUGAGCAAUCUAGGGGCAGAUGGAACAAGUGGUGGAGCGGUGAAAUGCGUAGAUAUCACUUGGAACGCCAAAGGUGAAGACAGUCUGCUGGGGAUUUGCUGACGCUGAGACACGAAAGCCAGGGGAGCGAACGGG